GCUUUCCUGUGGCUCGGUUCGUAUAGCAUUGCGCUAACCAUGCAAAGGUCAUGGGUUCAAAUCUCAGGGAAAGCA
rnacentral:tRNA from 1 species